rnacentral:piRNA from 1 species
UUCAAUUGUGUUACCCCACAUCUGGUA